rnacentral:rRNA from 1 species
GCGAACGCGGCAUCGGGCAUGGCUGUGGACGACGAAUGCAAGCUCAAGUUCCUGGAGCUGAAGGCGAAGCGAACCCACCGCUUCAUCAUCUACAAGAUAGACGACAAGAAGAAGAUGGUUGUUGUGGAGAAAGUCGGUGAGCCUGCCCUGAACUAUGAGGACUUUGCUGCCAGCCUCCCCACCAAUGAAUGCAGAUACGCGAUAUUCGACUAUGACUUUGUCACCGAGGAGAACUGCCAAAAGAGCAAGAUAUUCUUCGUCGCAUGGUCUCCUGACACCGCACGCGUGAGGAGCAAGAUGAUCUACGCAAGCUCCAAGGAGAGGUUCAAGAGGGAGCUCGACGGCAUCCAGGUGGAGCUGCAGGCGACAGACCCGACCGAGGUCGGCUUCGAUGUCAUCCAAGGCCGUGCCAACUGA